GCCCUCAGUGAUAUUACACAUGCAAGCAUCCACGGCCCUGUGAGAAUGCCCUCCACCAAAAUGUGAGGAGCAAGUAUCAAGCACGCAAACAUGCAGCUCAAGACACUUUGCUUAGCCACACCCCCACGGGAGACAGCAGUGACAAACUUUUAGCAAUGAACGAAAGUUUAACUAAGUUACACUGACAAUCAGAGUUGGUCAAUUUCGUCGCCAGCCACCGCGGCCAUACGAUUGACUCAAGUUAAUAGAGCCCGGCGUAAAGAGUGUUUAAGACUUAACCCACCUAAUAAAGCUAACCUGUAACUAAGUCGUAGAAAACUCCGGUUAUAGUGAAAUACUCUACGAAAGUGGCUUUAGCAUUCUGAACACACUAUAGCUAAGACACAAACUGGGAUUAGAUACCCCACUAUGCUUAGCCCUAAACCUCAAUAAUUUAAUUAACAAAUUUAUUCGCCAGAACACUACAAGCAACAGCUUGAAAUUCAAAGGACCUGGCGGUGCUUUACAUCCGUCUAGAGGAGCCUGUUCUAUAAUCGAUACACCCCGAUAAACCUCACCACAUCUAGCCAUUCAGCCUGUAUACCGCCAUCUUCAGCAAACUCCUUAAUGAUUGCAAAGUAAGCAGAAGUAUCACCAUAAAAACGUUAGGUCAAGGUGCAGCCAAUGACGUGGGAAGAAAUGGGCUACAUUUUCUACAUCAGAAAACUAAACGAUAACCCCUAUGAAAUUUAGGGGCCUAAGGUGGAUUUAGCAGUAAACCAAGAAUAGAGAGCUUGAUUGAAACAAGCCCAUUAAGCACGCACACACCGCCCGUCACCCUCCUCAAACAUCACACAAAAGUAUAUUAACAACAAGCCACUUCACACUGAUCUAGAGGGGAUAAGUCGUAACAUGGUAAGCGUACUGGAAAGUGCGCUUGGACGAAU
rnacentral:ncRNA from 1 species